AACGAACGCUGGCGGCAGGCUUAACACAUGCAAGUCGAACGCCCCGCAAGGGGAGUGGCAGACGGGUGAGUAACGCGUGGGAAUCUACCUAGUUCUACGGAACAACUGAGGGAAACUUCAGCUAAUACCGUAUACGCCCUACGGGGGAAAGAUUUAUCGGAAUUAGAUGAGCCCGCGUUGGAUUAGCUAGUUGGUGGGGUAAUGGCCUACCAAGGCGACGAUCCAUAGCUGGUCUGAGAGGAUGAUCAGCCACACUGGGACUGAGACACGGCCCAGACUCCUACGGGAGGCAGCAGUGGGGAAUAUUGGACAAUGGGCGCAAGCCUGAUCCAGCCAUGCCGCGUGAGUGAUGAAGGCCUUAGGGUUGUAAAGCUCUUUCAGUGGGGAAGAUAAUGACGGUACCCACAGAAGAAGCCCCGGCUAACUUCGUGCCAGCCGCCGCAGUAAAAC
rnacentral:rRNA from 1 species